GUCUGAAAGUGCUCAGGGAGAAGCAGCUGCAAGUGCUAUGGGCGGUAGAGGAGGUGGAGCUGCUUUCCGUGGACGUGGACGUGGACGUGGAAUGCGAAGACGAUGAGCUUGUUAUUAUUACUUGUUAGCUGCAUCUUUUCGAAAUUUCCUCCUUGAUUUUAGUUGGUUUCACAUUGUAUCAUCUUUUGAAUUAAAUUUAUUCUAUCUGCCUAUACUUCUUGCGAUUCACUAUCAAAAAUUUUGUUGUUUGCUUUUUGAGAUGCAUCUGCUGCUUUUUUU
rnacentral:misc_RNA from 1 species